rnacentral:rRNA from 1 species
AGUGAACGCUGGCGGCGUGCUUAACACAUGCAAGCCGAACGAGAACGGGAUAUAGCUUGCUAUAUUUGUCAGCUAAGUGGCGCACGGGUGAGUAAUGUAUAGGUAAUAUGCCUCUUACUAAGGGAUAACAAUUGGAAACGAUUGCUAAUACCUUAUAUGCCUUUAAGACUAAAGUCUGCAAGGGAAAGAUUUAUUGGUAAGAGAUUAGCCUGUAUUGUAUCAGCUAGUUGGUGAGGUAAUGGCUCACCAAGGCUAUGACGCAUAACUGGUUUGAGAGGAUGAUCAGUCACACUGGAACUGAGACACGGUCCAGACUCCUACGGGAGGCAGCAGUGGGGAAUAUUGCACAAUGGACGAAAGUCUGAUGCAGCAACGCCGCGUGGAGGAUGACACAUUUCGGUGCGUAAACUCCUUAUAUAUAGGAAGAUAAUGACGGUACUAUAUGAAUAAGCACCGGCUAACUCCGUGCCAGCCGCCGCAGUAA